UAGCAGAAUGACCUUCAGGUGUGUGUGU
rnacentral:piRNA from 1 species